UCCCAGAAGUUGUCCGGGACCAGGCGCCGAAGCCAGCGGCGUUUCUUCUUGCAGCUGCUGGGUGUGAGAUCACGCUGGCCGGAGUUCAUCACCUCGCUAAAGCCGUUCUCCUCGGGGAUGUUUGCCUGCUUCAUGCUGCCGCUCUGCCAGAGGAGUGAAACAGCCCCCUUCCUCCGCGCUCUGUUUAAAUCACUCUGCUGAGCCCGCAGGCAACCAGCGCCUCGUGCCAGGAGCGUUGUGGGGUGGCAGGGAGGUGCCGUGCACCGGCUGCACGUGGCGUUCACCUCCAACAGCUGGGCACACGUCACGCCGCAGAGGCGUCACACAGCCGUGGGUCAAGAGUGAGCUAGAGGCAGCUUUGCACUCUCCAUUGCACCCCAACCUGCAGAGAGGAAUCGCUCCACGUGCUGGAAUACUCACUGCUGUUGCAUCAAACAAGUGGAACGGAGCAAAGAUGAUCAUCACU